CUGAUGGAGAACACAUGUAGGAAGAAGUUGGUCCCACUGAAGCAGGAGAGCAAGGAGGUACAUCUUGAUUGUGCACUGAACCAGAAAUAUUUGGUUGACUUUAACAAGAAAGAUAAAGACCAUCAACGGACAGAACCAGCAUUAUCAGGUCUCAGAAAGUGCAAGAGAGCUGGAAUUGGACACACAGCAAUAAGAGAGCUUCCUGAAGAAUAAGUUGCUUUCUCAGGAGUCCCUGAUGACCAACAUCCUGAAUGAAAACAGCACUUGAGAGACAACUUGGGGGACCGCCUUUCAUUAUGUGUGCU
ensembl:lncRNA